UAAACUUUUUCAAUUUUUUUGAACCUACUUUUAAAUCCUGUAAUAUUUUAAUAACUAUUAAUGCAUUUCAAGAAACUAUAAAUAAACUCUGUGUAAUUUGAAAUUUAAUUUAGCUAAAUAACUAUUUUUUUACAACCAUACAAAAGAUAAUUUAUAUAAAUAAAAUUGUGGAUUGUCAUUAUCUCAAAAUUCUCUAAGUAGAAAUAAUUAACUGCCAUUUAGUUUAAGUUUUAUACAUACUACUUAAAUAAUAUUUUUCAUAGCUGGAUACUAACCCAGGUUUGUAAUUUUUUAAUUUAUUUUCUUAACAUAAUAUUGCUAGCUUUAAACAGAUAACUAUUAUGUUUAAAAUUGAUUAUACGUUUUAAUUUAAAUUUAAAGUA
rnacentral:rRNA from 1 species